rnacentral:rRNA from 1 species
CCUACGGGAGGCAGCAGUAGGGAAUCUUCCACAAUGGGCGAAAGCCUGAUGGAGCAACGCCGCGUGGGUGAAGAAGGUCUUCGGAUCGUAAAACCCUGUUGUUAGAGAAGAAAGUGCGUGAGAGUAACUGUUCACGUUUCGACGGUAUCUAACCAGAAAGCCACGGCUAACUACGUGCCAGCAGCCGCGGUAUUACGAAGGUGGAAAGCGUUAUCCGGAUUUAUUGGGCGUAAGGGGAACGCAGGCGGUCUUUUAAGUCUGAUGUGAAAGCCUUCGGCUUAACCGGAGUAGUGCAUUGGAAACUGGGAGACUGGAGUGCAGAAGAGGAGAGUGGAACUCCAUGUGUAGCGGUGAAAUGCGUAGAUAUAUGGAAGAACACCAGUGGCGAAAGCGGCUCUCUGGUCUGUAACUGACGCUGAGGUUCGAAAGCGUGGGGAGCAAACAGGAUUAGAUACCCCUGUAGUC